AUUGAACGCUGGCGGCAUGCCUUACACAUGCAAGUCGAACGGCAGCACGGGUGCUUGCACCUGGUGGCGAGUGGCGAACGGGUGAGUAAUACAUCGGAACAUGUCCUGUAGUGGGGGAUAGCCCGGCGAAAGCCGGAUUAAUACCGCAUACGAUCCACGGAUGAAAGCGGGGGACCUUCGGGCCUCGCGCUAUAGGGUUGGCCGAUGGCUGAUUAGCUAGUUGGUGGGGUAAAGGCCUACCAAGGCGACGAUCAGUAGCUGGUCUGAGAGGACGACCAGCCACACUGGGACUGAGACACGGCCCAGACUCCUACGGGAGGCAGCAGUGGGGAAUUUUGGACAAUGGGCGAAAGCCUGAUCCAGCAAUGCCGCGUGUGUGAAGAAGGCCUUCGGGUUGUAAAGCACUUUUGUCCGGAAAGAAAUCCUUGACUCUAAUACAGUCGGGGGAGGACGGUACCGGAAGAAUAAGCACCGGCUAACUACGG
rnacentral:rRNA from 1 species